UACGGAGGGUGCAAGCGUUGUCCGGAAUCACUGGGCGUAAAGAGCUCGUAGGCGGUUUGUUGCGUCGGCUGUGAAAUCCCGAGGCUCAACCUCGGGUCUGCAGUCGAUACGAGCAAACUAGAGUGUUGCAGGGGAGACUGGAAUUCCUGGUGUAGCGGUGAAAUGCGCAGAUAUCAGGAGGAACACCGGUGGCGAAGGCGGGUCUCUGGGCAACAACUGACGCUGAGGAGCGAAAGCGUGGGGAGCGAACAGG
rnacentral:rRNA from 1 species